rnacentral:rRNA from 1 species
GAUGAACGCUGGCGGCGUGCCUAAUACAUGCAAGUCGAGCGAACGGACGAGAAGCUUGCUUCUCUGAUGUUAGCGGCGGACGGGUGAGUAACACGUGGAUAACCUACCUAUAAGACUGGGAUAACUUCGGGAAACCGGAGCUAAUACCGGAUGAUAUUUUGAACCGCAUGGUUCAAAAGUGAAAGACGGUCUUGCUGUCACUUAUAGAUGGAUCCGCGCUGCAUUAGCUAGUUGGUAAGGUAACGGCUUACCAAGGCAACGAUGCAUAGCCGACCCGAGAGGGUGAUCGGCCACACUGGAACUGAGACACGGUCCAGACUCCUACGGGAGGCAGCAGUAGGGAAUCUUCCGCGAUGGGCGAAAGCCUGACGGAGCAACGCCGCGUGAGUGAUGAAGGUCUUCGGAUCGUAAAACUCUGUUAUUAGGGAAGAACAUAUGUGUAAGUAACUGUGCACAUCUUGACGGUACCUAAUCAGAAAGCCACGGCUAACUACGUG